rnacentral:lncRNA from 1 species
GACCAGCCUUAGACCCGUCCCCACCUGCCGCUCCCUGAGACGGGGCUCCGAUGGACCUUCAGCUCUAAUUGUCCCCUCCCUCUCCUCCCAGCGACAGUUGGCUGUCUCGGGCUAUCACCUUCCUGGACCGGCUUUUAAUGUGGCUGGGUAUCCGCAGGGACUAGACCUCUAGAGACCAUCUCCCGGACCCCGUGCUGCGGUUCCCACUGCAAUUGAAGCCUGGGCCCCAGGCCUGAGCCUCAGCCUCCACCACGUCUCUGCCUCCUUCUUCUCUGGGUCGGGACCACAGCCCCGCCUGCUGGAGGUAGCCUGUGGCACGACUGGGUGGGGAGGCCCCUGUCCAGCAGGCUUUGCUUCUCGAACCUGCUGACUUGAGGUGCCCCUCUGCCUCCUUAGCACUGUGCCAGUCUCUGAAGGACGCAUUCCACAGGCCCACUGUGGGGACACUGUUCAUGAGGUGCCUGUGCCUCCCGGGGAACCUCUGUCAACUCAGAGCUGGGUGUGUCCUAACGGUCACAGAGUCCCCUUCCCCUUACCACAGGGUGUUCCCCCUCUGAGGCCUUCUGUCCACCUUUCCCUCUUACUGGCGGGUUCUCUGGUGUCCCAUUCACUUCCACUCUCCAGAACCACCAGGACGACAGGUUCUGCCCAGUUUGCAUCCUGAGGGUUCCGGCCUCACCACAGAGCCUUCCACAACCUCCUCCCUGGUGCUCUGCUGCACAGGCAUCAGCCAGUGUCCGAGAGGGCCCAGCACAGUUGCAUAGGUUAUUCAUCACACAAGUCCAGGGAGUGUCAUGCACACCAAGGUUGACGUGACAUGACAGUGUGCAGGGUGACUGCUCUUGAGGAAAGAUUUGUCCCUGCCUCAGGAUGUGAGCACUCGGUGGGGUUAUGUAAAGUUGAUGUCACCACAUUCUCACAUGACAGAUGUCCCCCAAUUCUCAAAUGGCUUUGUGUGUCACAACUCUGGAGUCAUCCUUCUGAACUGGGGACAUGUUUGCAAAGAAACGAUACUGAGGAGGCUGCCAUCUGCUUCACUGACUGGACCCGCUCAUCCCGCAGGGGCCUGCU